UACGAAGGGGGCUAGCGUUGUUCGGAAUUACUGGGCGUAAAGCGUUUGUAGGCGGUCUUUUAAGCCAGUGGUGAAAGCCCAGGGCUCAACCCUGGAAUUGCCAUUGGUACUGGAAGGCUAGAGAGUGUUAGAGGUUAGUGGAAUUCCUAGUGUAGGAGUGAAAUCCGUAGAGAUUAGGAGGAAUAUCGAUGGCGAAGGCAGCUAACUGGAGCAUUUCUGACGCUGAGAAACGAAAGCGUGGGUAGCAAACAGG
rnacentral:rRNA from 1 species